rnacentral:rRNA from 1 species
CUAAACUGAGGAAAGUCGACCGAUACUGAUCGGCUAGAGGGACGUAGAGGUAAGCGGAACUCUCGGAGUAGCGGUGAAAUGCGUAGAGACCGAGAGGUACCCCGAUGGUGAAGACAGCUUACUGGGCGUCUCCUGACGCUGAAGCGCUAAGGCCAGGGGAGCGAAGGGGAUUAGAUACCCCCGUAGUCCUGGCUUCAAACGAUGUGGGCUUGGUGUCGGCUCCCGAUAGAGAGUCGUUGCCGGAGCUAACGUGUUAAGCCCACCGCCUGGGGAUUACGUCCGCAAGGAUGAAACUCAAGGGAAUUGACGGGGGCCCACACAACCGGUGGAGCACGUGGUUUAAUUCGAUGAUAAGCGAAGAACCUUACCAGGGCUUGACCUAGCGGUGGUAGGAUCCUGAAAGGGAAACGACCUCAAGCUUUGCUUGAGGAGCC